AAAGAAACUGCAUGAAUAAGCAAGAUGGACCAAAUUAAUAUACUCAAUGCAGUUGAACCCAACACAAUUGUUUCAUCCCUUGUGAAACCAGUAGGCACACCCAGGAGCAGAUCUACAGAAGACAUUCCAUCUUAGUUGAUAACUCAAAUGUACAAACA